rnacentral:rRNA from 1 species
UACCCUACGGGAGGCUGCAGUGGGGAAUAUUGGACAAUGGGCGAAAGCCUGAUCCAGCCAUGCCGCGUGGGUGAAGAAGGCCUUAGGGUUGUAAACCCCUUUCAGCGGGGAAGAUAAUGACGGUACCCGCAGAAGAAGUCCCGGCUAACUCCGUGCCAGCAGCCGCGGUAAUACGGAGGGGACUAGCGUUGUUCGGAAUUACUGGGCGUAAAGCGCGCGUAGGCGGAUUUGCAAGUCGGGGGUGAAAGCCCGAGGCUCAACCUCGGAACUGCCCUCGAUACUGCAAAUCUCGAGUCCGAGAGAGGUGAGUGGAAUUCCUAGUGUAGAGGUGAAAUUCGUAGAUAUUAGGAAGAACACCAGUGGCGAAGGCGGCUCACUGGCUCGGUACUGACGCUGAGGCGCGAAAGCGUGGGGAGCAAACAGGAUUAGAUACCCCAGUAGUCA